rnacentral:rRNA from 1 species
UGGGGAAUAUUGGGGCAAUGGAGGCAACUCUGACCCAGCAACGCCGCGUGAGCGAUGAAGGUCUUCGGAUUGUAAAGCUCUUUAAGUGGGGACGAAGAAAGUGACUGUACCCACAGAAUAAGUCCCGGCUAACUACGUGCCAGCAGCCGCGGUAAUACGUAGGGGACAAGCGUUAUCCGGAAUGACUGGGCGUAAAGGGUGCGUAGGUGGUUUGGCAAGUUGGUAGCGUAAUUCCGGGGCUCAACUUCGGAACUACUACCAAAACUGCCGGGCUUGAGUGCAGGAGGGGCAUAUGGAAUUCCUAGUGUAGCGGUGGAAUGCGUAGAUAUUAGGAGGAACACCAGUGGCGAAGGCGAUAUGCUGGACUGUAACUGACACUGAGGCACGAAAGCGUGGGGAGCAAACAGGAUUAGAUACCCUGGUAGU